rnacentral:lncRNA from 1 species
AGAAAUUCAACGUAAGGAAUGACAGUGAGCUAGGAAAAGCAGAAAGGAUGUGACCAACUGUGUCAAAUGCUGCUGAGACGUAAAACAUGAUGAAGUCCAAGAAUUGACUGGAGGGUCUGGAUGGCCGAUACUAGGCAUGCAUGUGCAUACAGAAAAGAGAGUAACCCAAUAGUGAGGAAGAAAUUGAUGCUGCAGGAGAGAGGGAAUAAUUGCCGAAGCAAAGAUCUUGAGGUACUGAGAAAGGAUGACCCUAAUUUCCUUAAUGCUGCACCAUAUGAUCAGGACGACAGGAGUUGAUUGACCUGCAUCAAACAUUACCUACUAGUCUCCCUCACACAAAACAAAGUAAAAGAGGAGAAUUGGAAGAAAGCAAUACCACUGCAGCCACACUGGGUGCAAGCUUUGAGAAUUCUGGGACUUUGUACACGAGUGAACCAGAGAGAACCUGUGGUGUGCUGGGAAAACCCAUAGGCCCUGCAGAAACAUCUAAUUAGUGUUGAUUUUGAGUAGAGGUUCUCUCUGAGAUACUUCAUCUGCAAAACAAGGAAUGAUACCAGUUCCCUUCCAGGGAUGCCAUAGAAUCGAAUGAGAGUGAUUUAAGCAUAAUACUCACUCAUGGCCUGCUUCCACUGAGGGACUGGAGGCUCCUUGAGCAAAAUUAUCUACCUCUUCACCUUUGGAUCUUUCACAGUUCCCAGUUCGGUGUACUACAGAUUGUACUUGCUAAAUAAAAAAUCAUUGUCAUGGUUUACCUAAAUGCCUGAAGUGUUAAUAAUAAAAAAAAAACCCUUUAUUCCCUCCCAUACACUUUAUAAAUCUACAGGAUUAGAGAAACAGAAUCAUCUAGACAUUUCUGGUGGUAAUGGAAAAUUGUUCAACCACUCUGGAAAAUUGUUUGGCAUUUUCCUAUAAAACUAAACAUGAAAUUACCAUAUGACCCAG